GAUGAACGCUGGCGGCGUGCCUAAUACAUGCAAGUCGAGCGAACAGACGAGGAGCUUGCUCCUCUGACGUUAGCGGCGGACGGGUGAGUAACACGUGGAUAACCUACCUAUAAGACUGGGAUAACUUCGGGAAACCGGAGCUAAUACCGGAUAAUAUAUUGAACCGCAUGGUUCAAUAGUGAAAGACGGUUGUGCUGUCACUUAUAGAUGGAUCCGCGCCGCAUUAGCUAGUUGGUAAGGUAACGGCUUACCAAGGCAACGAUGCGUAGCCGACCUGAGAGGGUGAUCGGCCACCCUGGAACUGAGACACGGUCCCGACUCCUGCGGGGGGCCGCAGUCGGGACUCUUCCGCAAUGGGCGAGAGCCUGACGGAGCAACGCCGCGUGAGUGCUGAUGGUCUUCGGCUCCUAAAGCUCUGUUAUUCGGGAAGAUCUAAUGUGUAAGUACCUAUGCUCGUCUUGACGGUACCUGAUCAGAAAGCCCCGGCUAACUCCGUG
rnacentral:rRNA from 1 species